GCAGAGAGGGGGCCCCCAUUGGUCCUUCUGGGGAAUAGCUGAGCUCUGGGCCAAAAGAUGUCCCCAGGCCAGCCAGCCAGCCAGCCAGCCCAGCGGGAGACUGCCUCGCCCCAGUGGCUGUGGAGCCCACAGUCCCAUUGCACUCCACCUCCUGGUCUGCAGCCCACAGUCCUCUCCCCUGGGGCCAGCCCCCUCACCUUUGGGCCCCCACACAACUGCGCCUGCUUCUGGAGUGUGUGUGCUGGACUGGCUCCUGGGGGAGUGGCCCAAAGACCCAGCGGGCACAGGGGUGGCCUUCCUCUGAAGACAGGCUGGAGGGACCAACAAGUCAGUGACUGGAGGGUCCGGGGACAGAGGGCAAGGAAUCGCUGGGAGGUAGAGCAGUCGCCCGUGGGAGAAAAGGCAGGGGGGCCCCAAUGCGGGAGACUGAAGCCCUCCAGGCUGGGACUGCCCUGUCGGUGCUCACAUCUCAGGUCGGGCAUGUGGAGGGCAGGUGGGGCAGUGAUGAGUCCUGGUCCAGCAGGCCCACCAUCUCUCCCCGUUUCUAAGUGACAGAACAGCCAUUCCGGAAGAAGUGAUGUGUUCAGGUCACAGCCUGUCACUGAUGGGGACGGUCCAGGCCAGGCUGAAUGCUCUUUCCAUCUGGGCCUGACAGCCUCUGGCGCCUGUCUUGUUGGGGCCCACGUGUCACCAAGAGACACCCUGGGGCCUCAGCCUGGGCACAGGUGAGACAUUCACCCGGCACCAGCACAGCGUCCCCGAGGUCUAGCUGAGGCAGCCACAGGACACAGUGGAUGCUGGAAGAGGAGCCACCACAGUGUUCCCGGAGAACAGGAGCCUGAGCCCGUGUCCCCCAGGAGAAGUCUCCCCGCAGAAGCUGCAGAAGCAUCAAGAACCUGGGCUGGGUAAAAGAGUUGGCUUUCUGUUCCAAGCAUCCUGAAGAUUUUAUUUAUUUAUUCACGAGAGACACAGAGAGGGAGCCGCAGAGACACAGGCAGAGGGAGAAGCAGGCUCUACGCAGGAAGCCCGAUGCGGGAUUCAAUCCGGGGUCUCUGGGAUCACACCCUGGGCCAA